rnacentral:ncRNA from 2 species
UUCGCACCUUUUUACUCGGGCUUUGCCCUUGAUGAAAAGAACAAGCGGAUUGAAACGGGAAGCCGGUUCAGUGGUGGUUGUUUCAAGCAACAAUAACACCGCGAGUCCGGCGCUGCCCCCGCAACGGUAGGCGAGUUGUGAUCGCGACAGAUGCCACUGUGGUUGGCCAGGCCCAUUGUUUGGGUUCUGGUAGCCCCAUGGGAAGGCGUCGCAAUCCGGAUACCACAGGCCAGUGAUGUUCUCGCAUCAUUGCCCCUGGCCUCCAGCUCGUGAGCCCGGAGACCGGCCUGCGUCUGCUGUGCGGC